CAGUCGCCGCGGGAAUACAGAGGGUGCAAGCGUUAAUCGGAAUUACUGGGCGUAAAGCGCGCGUAGGUGGUUCGCCAAGUUGGAUGUGAAAUCCCCGGGCUCAACCUGGGAACUGCAUCCAAAACUGGCGAGCUAGAGUAUGGUAGAGGGUGGUGGAAUUUCCUGUGUAGCGGUGAAAUGCGUAGAUAUAGGAAGGAACAUCAGUGGCGAAGGCGACCACCUGGACUGAUACUGACACUGAGGUGCGAAAGCGUGGGGAGCAAACAGGAUUAGAUACCCGUGUAGUCCCUGUCUCUUAUAU
rnacentral:rRNA from 1 species